rnacentral:rRNA from 1 species
UACGAAGGGGGCUAGCGUUGCGCGGAAUCACUGGGCGUAAAGCGCACGUAGGCGGCUUUCUAAGUCAGGGGUGAAAUCCUGGAGCUCAACUCCAGAACUGCCUUUGAUACUGGAGAGCUCGAGUCCGGAAGAGGUGAGUGGAACUGCGAGUGUAGAGGUGAAAUUCGUAGAUAUUCGCAAGAACACCAGUGGCGAAGGCGGCUCACUGGUCCGGUACUGACGCUGAGGUGCGAAAGCGUGGGGAGCAAACAGG